GGGAGGUCCCUAAUAACUGUGUGA
rnacentral:siRNA from 1 species